rnacentral:lncRNA from 1 species
CUAUGGGGUCUCUAUGGGGUCCCAUUGGGUUCUAUGGGGUCUUAUGGGGUCUCUAUGGGGUUCUAUGGGGUCCCAUUGGGUUCUAUGGGGCCCUAUUGGGUUCUAUGGGGUCUUAUGGGGUCCCAUUGAGUUCUAUGGGGUUCUAUGGGGUCCUAUUGGGUUCUAUGAGGUCUUAUGGGGUCUCCAUGGGGUUCUAUUGGGUUCUAUGGGGUUUUAUGAUGUUCUAUGGGGUCUCUAUGGGGUCCCNNNNNNNNNNNNNNNNGGGUUCUAUGGGGUCUUAUGGGGUCUCUGUGGGGUCUUAUGGGGUCUCUAGGGGGUUUUAUGGGGUCUUAUGGGGUCUCAAUGGGGUCCCAUUGGGUUCUAUGGGGGUUUAUGGGGUUCUAUGGAGUCUCUAUGGGGUCCCAUUGGGUUCUAUGGGGUCCUAUGGGGGGCCAUUGGGUUCUAUGGGGUUUUAUGGGGUCCCAUUGGGUUCUAUGGGGUUUUAUGGGGUCCUAUGGGGUCCCAUUGGAUUCUAUGGGGUCUUAUGGGGUCUCAAUGGGGUCCCAUUGGGUUCUAUGGGGUCCUAUGGGGGGCCAUUGGGUUCUAUGGCGGCUUAUGGGGUCUCUGUGGGGUCCCAUUGGGUUCUAUGGGGUCCCAUUGGGUUCUAUGGGGUUUUAUGGGGUCUAUGGGGUUCUAUGGGGUCCCACUGGGUUCUAUGGGGUCUUAUGGGGUCUCUAUGGGGUCCCAUUGGGUUCUAUGGGGUCUUAUGGGGUCUUAUGGGGUCUCUCUGGGGUCCCAUUGGGUUCUAUGGGGUUUUAUGGGGUCCUAUGGGGGCCUAUGGGGUCCCAUUGGAUUCUAUGGGGUCUUAUGGGGUCUCAGUGGGGUUCUAUGGGAUCCCAUUGGGUUCUAUGGGGUCUUAUGUGGUCUCCAUGGGGUCCCAUUGGGUUCUAUGGGGUCUUAUGGGGUCUCUAUAGGGGCCUAUUGGAUUCUAUGGGGUUCUAUGGGGUCUUAUGGGGUCCCAUUGGGUUCUAUGGGGUUUCUAUGGGGUCCCAUUGGGUUCUAUGGGGUCCCAUCGGAUUCUAUGGGGUUCUAUGGGGUCUCUAUGGGGUCCCAUUGGGUUCUAUGGGGUUUUAUGGGGUCCCAUUGGGUUCUAUGGGGUUUUAUGGGGUCUUUAGGGGGUUUUGUGGGUUCUAUGGUGUUUUAUGGGGUCCCAUUGAGUUCUAUGGGGUUUUAUGGGGUCUCUAUGGGGUUCUAUGGGGUCCCAUUGGGUUCUAUGGGGUUUUAUGGGGUCCCAUUGGGUUCUAUGGGGUCCCAUUGGGUUCUAUGGAAUUUUAUGGGGUCUCUGUGGGGUUCUAUUGGGUUCUAUGGGGUUCUAUGGAGUCUCUAUGGGGUCUCUAUGGGGGGGCAUUGGGUUUUAUGGGGUUUUAUGGGGUCUCUGUGGGGUUCUAUGGGGUCCCAUUGGGU